CAUCACGAGUUUGAUCCGUGCUACAGAACGAACGCUGGCGGCAUGCCUAACACAUGCAAGUCGAACGAGACCUUCGGGUCUAGUGGCGCACGGGUGCGUAACGCGUGGGAACCUGCCUUUAGGUUCGGAAUAACAGUGAGAAAUUACUGCUAAUACCGGAUGAUGUCUUCGGACCAAAGAUUUAUCGCCUUUAGAUGGGCCCGCGUUGGAUUAGCUAGUUGGUGGGGUAAAGGCCUACCAAGGCGACGAUCCAUAGCUGGUCUGAGAGGAUGAUCAGCCACACUGGGACUGAGACACGGCCCAGACUCCUACGGGAGGCAGCAGUGGGGAAUAUUGGACAAUGGGCGAAAGCCUGAUCCAGCAAUGCCGCGUGAGUGAUGAAGGCCUUAGGGUUGUAAAGCUCUUUUACCCGAGAUGAUAAUGACAGUAUCGGGAGAAUAAGCUCCGGCUAACUCCGUG
rnacentral:rRNA from 1 species